rnacentral:rRNA from 1 species
UACGUAGGGUGCGAGCGUUAAUCGGAAUUACUGGGCGUAAAGGGUGCGCAGGCGGCCAUGCAAGUCGAGUGUGAAAGCCCCGGGCUCAACCUGGGAAUUGCAUUCGAUACUGGAUAGCUAGAGUUCGGCAGAGGGAAGCGGAAUUUCUGGUGUAGCGGUGAAAUGCGUAGAUAUCGGGAGGAACACCAGUGGCGAAGGCGGCUUCCUGGCCUGUUCUUGACGCUGAGGCGCGAAAGCUAGGGGAGCAAACGGG